rnacentral:lncRNA from 1 species
CGCGCCAUUGCACUCCAGCCUGGGCAACAAGAGCGAAAGUCUGUCUCAAAAAAAAAAAAAAAAGUUAAGUAUCGGUUCCUCAUGCACCAACCUCAUUUCAAGUGCCCAGUACCUACGUAUCACUAGUCUCAGAUACUAAAGUUAUAAAAUGUUACCAUCAUGCAGAAGUUCUAUUAGACAGCACUAUUCUGGAGUCUUCUAAUUGCCUCACAAACCAUGGUCUCAUCUCCCUACAAGACACAGGGCCUCUUAAGAAUGGGGAUUUGCUGCUGUCUUUCUCCACCUUCCUUCAGAGGCAGGCCACACAAAGGCCUGGGCGGCCUGAGAUGCAUAACAAAUUCACUCAAUAAGCCCAUGGGUUCCAUACACAAACUAAAAUUUGCAAAGCAGCUCUGUGUAACCACAGACAUUCACAGUAACUGUCAUGCUGCAAGGAGUGGUUCUCUUUCUUCCUCUGUGGGGGCCUCAAAGUAACCCUCCAGUUCAACCCCAUGACUCCCAUCCCAGCCACUCCCAGCUGGCUCCCCGAAGACAAGCUGCCAUCAAUCCCUUCCUCACCCCGCCAGCCCAUUUUACGUAGGGGCAAACCAAGGCCCACCACAGACUUCAGCCUGACCCUAUUUUGUGUUGGAGGCUACUGUGGAAAAAACCAGAACCCUGGGAGCAGGAGGAAGUGUGGGGGUGAGGCUUUCACCUUAUAAGCUGGGUGCAGGGGGCCCACACACAACUUAACCUUUCAGUGACCCAGGACAGGACCUCUAAAAGAAUCAGGCCUGGGAGACCUUGCCCUGCCCCCAGAAGCACCAAGAGGCACAGGAAUCUGCUGCCAGCCCAAGGGUCAGAGCCCGACAGCACACACAGCAUGAGUGGGCAGGCGCAGGGGCACCUGGCACAAAGCUGCGCACGCACAUGGGAAUACCUUGCCACCUGAGCCCCGAGCCCGCCUCAGGCUUACUGCAUGGCUGCUUCUCCACGACCAAACCCACCAGGAGCUGGUUCAGGGAGGAUUCAGGGGUUGGAGUGAGAGCAGGAAGAGGAAGGAGGCUGGCCAGGGGGUGCCAGCCAGGGAGGAGUCCGGGGGGCUGCACUGGUCUGGCCUGCUCUCCCUCAGGGCCAACUCCUGCUACAGACAGCGCCUGGGAGAACAGUGGGAGCUGCUGCCGCUUCAAGCCUGGGAAACUGGAAGGAAGAUGGGAAAUACCUGCCUGCCGUCCCCUUCACGACCCCACCCCAGUUCACCGAAUGAGCAAAUCAGCAGUGCAUGGCCUGGACUGCGUACACUGGAGCAUGCAGGAGCAGAGCAGAGUGGAACGUGGCCUGGGCUAGAAGCUCUGGAGGCCCCAGGCCACCAGGGAGACUGGGACUAGGUGGGGCCCAGGGAGGACCUUCACACCCCCAGCCCUGCCUGUCGGGCCUCAGGCCUUUGGUGAUCUGCCCGGGGCCUAUGAGGACAAAAGCAUGAAGAAUCAGGAGCCGCCAUUCCCACCCUCCACCACCUGGGCCCCCACUCCUCAGCUUUGCCGCUGCUUCCUCUGACUCCCCUCCCGGCCUGGAGCAGCGAACCCUGAGCCCCUACAUUCCUGCCCCAGGAAAGCCUCAUGUCCCUCUGGAGACUGACUGGCCAGGCCAGCUGCCAUUUUUGAUGCCAGACUAGACUGGGCAGACGGGUGAGGCUUGGGGACUCUGGGCUGUAUAAAAGUUAAUAAAUAAUAAUAAUAAAACCCUCAAGUCAACCUUGAAGAGAAACAAGGUCAGGAGGAAACAGGGCCCCAGGGACUGGGACAGAGGCAGUCCCUAGGUUUUCAGACAAGACCAUGGCUAGCUCCAGAAGCCCCUGUGGUGGUGGGA